rnacentral:rRNA from 1 species
CCCAGACUCCUACGGGAGGCAGCAGUGGGGGAUAUUGCACAAUGGGGGGAACCCUGAUGCAGCGACGCCGCGUGGGUGAAGGAGCGUUUCGGCGCGUAAAGCCCUCUCGGCAGGGAAGAAGGAGGACGGUACCUGACUAAGAAGCCCCGGCUAACUACGUGCCAGCAGCCGCGGUAAUACGUAGGGGGCAAGCGUUAUCCGGAUUUACUGGGUGUAAAGGGGGCGCAGACGGCAGCGCAAGCCAGGAGUGAAAGCCCGGGGCCCAACCCCGGGACUGCUCUUGGAACUGCGCGGCUGGAGUGCAGGAGGGGCAGGCGGAAUUCCUGGUGUAGCGGUGAAAUGCGUAGAUAUCAGGAGGAACACCGGUGGCGAAGGCGGCCUGCUGGACUGCGACUGACGUUGAGGCCCGAAAGCGUGGGGAGCAAACAGGAUUAGAUACCCCAGUAA